CGAUAUUCCAACAACGCCAAUUUGACAAAAAUUUGACAACGCCACGUAUCAAGUUUUAAUUGGUCGAAUUUGAAUGCUUUUUUUUAAUUUAAAAUCUGAUUUGAAAUGGGUUGAAGUUUGGAUUCCGAAACUGCCCUCUUCGUUUUCGAACUCUAUCUUCUCUCCUUAUCACUGUCUUCUCUCUCCAUUUUGGGGAUUUUAAUUUCAUUUCAACUUCUCUCUUCAUAGCAGUGUUCUCCUUCCUCCAUUUUUAGGGUUUCAUUUUGUUUUGAACAUCUCUCUCCUGCUUCCCUGUCACCAUUGUUUUCCUUUGAAUCUUUGUGGACAUUGGGUUUGUUUAUUUGAGUUGUAGAUUAUGCUUGUCUCGUUCGGUGUGGAUUUGUCUCGUUCGGUGUCUCUGUGGACAUUGAGUUUCUUUCUUUGAGUUAGAGAUUACCCUUGUCUCGUUCGGUGUCGAUUUGGUGGAAGUUGUUACCUUUUUUGUGCAAUGGGUUCGUCCGGUGACAAUGGUUCUUCGAACAAGGGAGCUGGUAAUCGUUUACCAGUAGAAAAAUCUCCUUUUGUACCGAAAGUUGAAGAGUGCUACCCAGACGUGGCUUAACCACUCCCCAAGAAUAUUUUGGAUU